rnacentral:rRNA from 1 species
CCUACGGGUGGCAGCAGUGGGGAAUAUUGCACAAUGGGCGAAAGCCUGAUGCAGCAACGCCGCGUGAAGGAAGACGGUCUUCGGAUUGUAAACUCCUUUUCUUAGGGAAGAAUAAUGAGCGUAACGUAGCAGCAAGCGACGACUAACAACGAGCCAGCAGCCGCGGUAAUACGAAGGGGGCAAGCGUUAUCCGGAAUUACUGGGGGUAAAGGGAGCGUCGGCGGGAAGCCAAGUCAGCUGUGAAAACUACGGGCUUAACCUGUGGACUGCAGUUGAAGCUGGCUUUCUUGAGUGACGUAGAGGUAGGCGGAAUUCCUGGUGUAGCGGUGAAAUGCGUAGAUAUUCGGAGGAACACCGGUGGCGAAGGCGGCCAACUGGGCUUUAACUGACGCUGAGGCUCGAAAGUGUGGGGAGCAAACAGGAUUAGAUACCCCGGUAGUC